rnacentral:lncRNA from 1 species
UUGAAGUGUUUAAUUGUUUCACUAAUAACAAAUUUAGCGUGUAGGGUUGAGCUAUUUUUAGCUCAACCUUACACGCGAAUUGAAAUCGAAUUAAAGAGGGUGAGUUUCUUUUAUUUCUGGAAAGAUUAGUAGGAUAAGAUAUUCUAUUAGUUUUGUAAAGAUUGGAAUGAUGCUAAUACCGCGGUAGUUAUUUGGAUUAGUUAACGAUUUUUUUUACGAUUUAGCAAGUGGUAUUAUAAGUGAUGUAGGCAUCAAUUUUGGGGUCUGUUCAUAAUUAAUAGAAAAGUGAAAAAAUUUUAUGAGCCACUCUUUUAGUGCUUUACAGCUUGCAUUCUUUAAAUGUUCAGUUGAUAUUCCGAAGGCGUCCUUGGAUUUGUUUAAAGUAAGGCGAGAAAUAACCGUUUUUAAAUUUUCAUCCAAUAUUAUUACCUCGUCGAAUUUUGUGCAUGGUGGAAUUUUUAAAUUUGUAGAGGUAUAUGUGAUUGCCAAAUUCUUUCGUGAUCGAGUCUUUAUCUUUUUUAUUAUUUAUGGUUUACAAUUUCAAAUUGGCAUCUUUUUUUAUAUUUCUGAAAGUUUUCCGAAAAUGUUUUGGAUUUGUACUUUUUGACGUUUCGAUUUUUAUGUAUUCUUUGUACAGGUUUUUGUUUUGAGCAUUUUUUACAGCAUGGCGGAAAUUUUUUCGUGCCGUCCGGUAUCGAAUAAAAAUUUGCGUCUUUAACGAACCCAGUUUCCCGCCAUUUUUUAAAAUAAAAUGAAAGAACAUUUUUACUACGGCUUAACUUGGGUGUCCACCAGAAUUUUGAAUGCAAUGACGGUUUUUUCAUGGAUAAAUAUUGACUAAAUGCCUCAGAUGCCGAUUUUGUAAUAACAGUAUAUACUUUGAUAAGUUCUUCAUCGUAAUUGUCAUUCGUAAAAUUGUGAAAAUUAAAUUUAUUAUUUAAGCGAUUGUUAUAUAAUUGUAAAAAAUCAUUGUUAUUCCAGGCAUAAUUAUGAAAUGCUGUACUUGUCUGAGUUUUUAUGAUUGUUUUCUUGAGAAGAUUGUUCAAUAAUUUCAACUUCAAUCAAUACUGGUAAAUGAUCACUCAUCUUUUGAGAUAAAAAAGGAAUUACGAAACAAUUGGAAUAAAGAAGAGACGUAUACUUUGAGAAAGCUAUGUGAUCUAUGUAAGAUGGGUUUGGUAAUGUAUUAUGGUGAUACGUUAACUUAGGUCCAGAGCCUUUUUGUUACGUCCACUAAUUCAAGUUCAUUCGACUUAAUAAAAUUUGAUAAAACUACUGAGUAGUUAUUUUUCGUAGAGUUAGCUUUCUUUAAUGUAUCAUAUAUUCCGUGAGGAAAAGAUUAAAAGUUGCCAAGAACAAUAAAUUCAGCAACAUCCUUGUAGUUAUUAAUAACACCUGAAAUUAUAUCUAACUGACUCUUGUAAUUCUCCAGUGAUUUUUGAUUAUUGCGCGACAAUUAAAGAAAAAUGCCAAUAAUACCCAAUGAGAAAAAAGAUAUCUUUAGACGAAUGGCGUCUUUUUUAUGAUUUGUUUUGUCUUUUUAUAAUCAGCCUAAAUAAAGACGUGGAAAGGACGUCUUUUAAAAAGACGUCUUCAAAAAAGAGGUCGAAAAGACGUCAAUCGGUUUUACGUCUUUAACAAGACGUAGAAAAGACGUCUUUUAUAUCGAUGACCUUUAAAAAAAGAAAUGAGAAAAUUUUCGUUGUUAAUAAGGAAAUCAUUAUUUGCUUUUUUAGAAAAUUGAAAAUAAUUAUUGCCAAUAAAACCUAAAAAAGAUGGGUCUUAACCCACAGUAUCGCAAUUACGAUAUUUUUGUUUACAAAAUACUUUUAUAAAAAAAUUUUUAUGUGCAACGUCUUAAGAAUUGUUAUUCAUAACAAUUAUGAAUAACAAUUCUUAAGGUGUAUUAGCUGAAUUAUCUUUUUGUUUUGAUAGCCUUUAGUCAAUAACGGAUUUUUAAAUUGUUAUGAGUCUACAACACCUAAUUUCAGCGAAAUUCAAUUAAAAAGUUACGUCAUAGAAGACAGAAAAAUACCAAUAUCUGUUUUCAAUAAGUUAGCUUUCAUAGCAAAUCUGAGAGACUGUUUACCGUUUGACUCCUGUCCCAAUCUAACCUAGUGGGUUCAAAAAGAAAGGACCGCGCUGGAAACAUGAGGGUGUUAAAAGAAUCAGCCCUUUUUGAAUUAAUAGUGGAAGUCGUAAUCAGCUCGUAUGAAAAAAUUUCUCGACGUGAAAAAGUUGAUUUUAUUCAAUAACGCCAAGAAACAGAGCUCGCUCAAGAAACAGAAAAGAAAGAGAAAGAUGAAAAAAUAUUCUGUUGAGCAAUACUGUGGUUUUCUUUAUAAAUUAUAUU